UGGGGAAUAUUGGACAAUGGGCGCAAGCCUGAUCCAGCCAUGCCGCGUGAGUGAUGAAGGCCUUAGGGUUGUAAAGCUCUUUCACCCACGACGAUAAUGACGGUAGUGGGAGAAGAAGCCCCGGCUAACUUCGUGCCAGCAGCCGCGGUAAUACGAAGGGGGCUAGCGUUGUUCGGAAUCACUGGGCGUAAAGCGCGCGUAGGCGGACCGUUAAGUCGGAGGUGAAAGCCUGGAGCUCAACUCCAGAACUGCCUUCGAUACUGGCGGUCUCGAGUCCGGGAGAGGUGAGUGGAACUGCUAGUGUAGAGGUGAAAUUCGUAGAUAUUAGCAAGAACACCAGUGGCGAAGGCGGCUCACUGGCCCGGUACUGACGCUGAGGUGCGAAAGCGUGGGGAGCAAACA
rnacentral:rRNA from 2 species